AAACUUUUUCCACCUAGCAGGAGACUGCCUGAUAUAUCUCACUGAUUGCCUAAUACGUUCAAUAGACACACUUGAUUCUUUUAUACCAUCCUGAACAACAAGAUUCAGAAUAUGAGCCAUACACCUCACGUGAAGGUGCUUACCAUUGAUGGAAUUGGUCCCCCAUUUAGUUAACUUCUUAGAAAGCUCCUUCACUGUCACAUCAUUUGAACUAGCAUUAUCAAUAGUGAUAGUGAAAAUCUUUUGUAACCCCCACUCUUUCAAACAAUUAACAAUACUAUUUGCCAUAUCUUCACCCAUAUGAAUAGAAAUUGGACGAAAGUUGAUAAUUCUUUUAUGCAUUUUCCAUUCACUAUCAAUCCAAUGAACAGCAUCAACAGUAGUGAAAAUCUUUUGAAACUCCCACUCUUUCAAACAAUUAACAAUACUAUUUGCCAUAUCUUCACCCCUAUGUCUAGAAAUUGGACGAAAGUUGAUAAAUUUUUAUGCAUUUUCCAUUCAC
rnacentral:lncRNA from 1 species